UGUGCAGGACCAAAAAGUGAAGAGGCAAAUUAGCUUGUUAUCCCCCAAAGAAGCUUCACCUUCAGAGAGAAGCGUGAGGAGGCUGAGAAACAGGAGGAAGACGUUGCUUCUCUGGUGAUUUAAAGGUGACAUGACGAGCCUCACGUCCCUCAAACCCCAGCUAGUUUCUGACAGCGUUUCACAGCUGUGACGGGAGUUUCUGCUGGCGGGUGCCUGACUGUGUUCGGUGGAUUGCAAACAGGACUUGCUCCAGAAGAGGGGAUAAAGGGCAGGAGCGGGAACAGUCUCCUCAUCCCUCCGCUGACCCGCAGAUCCGAACAGGAACUUUUGCUGGGAAGCUCUUUUCUGAGAGCACGUUUGGAUUUAUGACUAUGUGCUGAGGAUAUUGGAUGAACAAUUGACGGCACGUUUCUCCACACCGUAUCUCACAGCCGGUGCUCCUGCCAUGUCCUGGCUCCUGUGUCUGUGGAUAAGUGUUAGCUGCUUACUCCUGUGCCACGCCACUUUGUACGAGACCAUCCAGCAGCAUCAUGUGACCCACCCGGGCCGCAACGCCAUACAGAUUCUGGAGGGGGGAACGUGUGAGGUCAUCGCAGCACACCGAUGUUGCAACAAAAACCGCAUUGAGGAGCGUUCCCAGACAGUCAAGUGCUCAUGUUUACCGGGAAAAGUGGCCGGCACAACACGGAACAAACCCUCCUGUGUAGACGCCUCUAUCGUGAUUGGGAAGUGGUGGUGUGAGAUGGAGCCGUGUCUGGAGGGAGAGGAGUGUAAGACACUACCAGACAACUCCGGCUGGAUGUGUUCCUCUGGAAACAAGAUCAAGACCACGAGGGUGAGGGCUCGGAACAUGCUGAACAUCACUUCACACACGUACAAACACACACACAUAUACACAUGUAACUCUGGCCCUCACUUACAGAUUUAUUCCUCAUGAUAUGAUGUGGCAGUAGUUUGUGCUCUGACAAACACCACUUCUUCAUUUAGUCCUAAUGCAGCUUUAUAAAGGAUGCGGUGCUGAGUUCAACUUAAGCAAUAAGAAACAAGUCAGACAAAUAUAAACUAAACAUCACAGCUUUGACAGGAAGUACACAUGACACAAACUGAAAACUUGAUGAGCAGAUCAGUAUUCCCAUACGCUGAUUCAGUAGAGAGGUGACAGACAGCGGAUCUGUGAGAGUCAUGUGACAGAUAGUGUUACAGGGGGUUUGGUCCCUCCUUGGCAUCUGCACACGUUUAAACUAUCCCAAGCCCUGCUCAUCCGAUGGUGGCUGGAUGAUUUUCAAGAUUUCCAAGGUAAGACCAUGCAUACAACGAACCAAUGAACCAGAGAAAGCAUCUCUUGAUUUAUUAGUGUAAUAUAAUAUAACUAAAAAGAUUAUUUAUGAAAUAAUGUGCGCACUUGUGUCAAGCUUAAAAGCAAAGUUUAUACAAAAAUUAUUACAAUGUCAUUAUAUAUGCUCAUCAAUUAUAUAUGCACACUUGUGUCGUUCCAAACUAGUAUGUAAUAUAUUAUUAUUAUUAUUAUUAUUAUUAUUAUUAUUAUUAUUAUUAUUAUUAUGCCCUUUCCUUACAACAAUGUCAAGACUAGGAGAUUUCAAGCUUCAAAUAAUAAAAAAUAAAAUAAAAUAAAAACAUCAGAAAAGAACGAUAAUGUGCUAUUAUCUGCUAGAUUUCGGAGGAACAGGUUAUCAGAUCUUAUUUACUGAUUAUUCAUAAUUUAAAACUUAUAUUUAAAUUUAAAGCUCACAUCUUGUCCAAGUUUGCAUUCAUUUUUGUUUAAAUUCAAAAAUUAAAUGUCGUGUUUGGUUACUACACAUACAUACAAGAACCAGUGCUGAUCUGGUGCACCAAUUUGCAAUUUGGAUGUUUGAAGACGAGGGCUUUGGUAGAGAUGACUAAUCCAAGUUGAUGCUUACUAAACAUUCAGUCUUUACCUCACAAAAUCAUAAAUUUUAUAUGAAAAAUAGCAUAAAAGUCUUUGACUACUAUGUUUUUGUUAUCUACAACACUGUCAUUGUUUGGCAAUAAUUGCGAAGCAAUUCUUCAAAGAUUUCUGCUUUUGAGUUCCAUGUUUAAAAAAAAUGGUUUGGGGCGACAUGAGGUUGAGUAAUUGAGAUUUUAAGGUGAAUUAUUCCUUAAGCUCUAAUUGAGAUUAGAUAAAAGAAAAGGACUGUAAUGAAACAACCAUAUUUUAAAGUGAAUGGGAAAUAAAAACUUGCUAUUAUUAACUAUUAAACUUCCUCUUUUUUCCCUUCAUAUCUUCCUUCCCAGAACACCCAGCCAUAUUCAACGUUUUAGCUCUGAGGGCCACCGAAGCUGGCUCGCCUGAAGCUCAGUGGUGUCCUUCUCCUCAUCAAGAUUCAUCCCCGGACCUAACAAAGAGCUCCUUCACAGGCAGUGAAUGUGGAUUAUUUCUGUCAGAAUGGACGAAACCAUUCGUUCGAAGGGGUGUUUGACUGGAUUACCUGUGACUGACAUUCUUGGGGAUAUAGAUGAGAUUUGCUCAUUCAGUGCCAAGGAAUAUGACAAAUAGAAAUAAAGCAGGCUAAUCUGUGUUUUUGAUCAAUGAGCCCAACACUGCAGACUCGACCUUGUCCAAAUUCUCUUGAUUUUCUGCAUUUCUCCUGACCACCGUCCUCUGGUUCUAAACUCCUACAGCUUAUCGGAGCCUAUUUGAAGACGUUACCUCCCUUGGUAAACUGGACAAUCCUGAUAUAAGCUGUGAAUGACUGUAUGAAGGAUCAUGGCGGAUAAGCACUGGUCUGUGAAAAUUAGGUGGAAAUCAAUAGAUUUUUUUUUUCCAUCCCCCAUCAGUUUGUCGUUCCACGUCCACGCUGGCAUUGGUAACAGACUAGGAGCUCGUGAAGUCCUGCUAUUUCCCUUCACUUCUGAGUUUUCUGCUCACCGCUAGUGUCCCACAUGCUGUCCGUUUGGAAUUCCCCCAGGUCAAAGGUCACCUCAAUGUCUACCUGGGCCACAUAUCUUUUCAUUUGUCAGCAUGCUCAAUGUAUUUUGUGGGAGCUUUGUAUUGAAAGUAACUGUAUAUAUUUCUGUAUAUAUAUACAUAUAGAUACAUAUUAAAAGACAUCAUAUGAAGAUCUAUCGUGCCCUAAAACCUGUUCAGUGGGUUUCAACUAAGACUGUAUUCAUAGUUUUGGUUCCUUGAACAUGACGUACAAUUAAUCCCUAAUUUAAGGCUGUCUGUGAAAAUGCAUAUUCUCAUGAUGUAAUGGAAACCCGGCAUAUUUAGCUUGAAUGAGAAUUCGUUCCAUUGUUACAAAGUGAAUCCAUUCUGAAAAAAAAGAGGAAAAUGCACUAAACAGUUGCAACAUUUUUGUCCACAAUAUUUCAACGCAAACCUAUUUUUUUAGUGUUUAAAUAUUCCUGAGCUUUAAGUAUUUAAGUCAUUGCCAUUCAUUUCAAACAAGUUUCCAUGCAAAUUAGGCUUUAGAUUGCGUUUUAUUCACAAAACUGUACUACUACUCUAAUGAUACUACCACUGGUGAAAAUCAGGUGGCAAAUGACAUUUUCUUCUGAUCACAGCAAAAGUAAUUCAACAUGUAAUGAGCAAAUAUUGGCGUAGAGCAGAUGUGUGGAGUAGUCAACUACACUUGGUGCCGUACUGUCCCAUUAAAAUAUGUCAUAAAAUAUGUGCCAUGCACAGAAUUUGCUGGUGCUUUUGUUUUGUUAUCUGAUACGCAUAAUUCUGAAUCAGACACUUCAAUACAGCAAACAAUGUAAUUAUUUGCCUCUGUAGGUGGACCCAACUCAUUCUUAGUAAUUUUGCAGGGAUAUCAGUCUGUCAGCCCAACAAAAAAAGGUAACAAACACCUACUGGAACUCAGAUUACCAUUGAUAUUUACCUAUAGCCAGUUCAGACCAUGAUUAAGUUUGUUCUGUGCUGUUCUGAGAAUAGAUAGGCUUCAUCAUGCUUGUGUAAGUUUCAUGAAUACAAGUCAUUCAAUUUGUUAAAGGUGAUAACCAUGAUAAACAAAUACUGGAUCUGUGUCACUGGACAGAAACCUGACUCAGUUCAGAAAAAUGAAGCCCUAGUUUGAUAGGGUCAGUGUUGUAGGGAAGAGAGGAUCUCAUUUUCAAGAGAUUUGUUUUCUGUGUAAUAAAGUUUCGAAGGGUUGACAAAAAGGUGGGCUUCAUUUCUCUUUACUGGCAUCAGUAGACAUGCAACUACAGUAGCUCUGGUAUAUAAACAUGCAGCCUUAUCAGAAUCAAGUCAAUAUUAAAAUGGUUUUCCAUA